UCGUAUUUUUCCUCCAUGAAAUACGUCUCUUAUCGGAUUUGGUAAAACAAAAUGGGAGGUACGUACGAAGUGACACGCACCAGACUAAACUGUAUAGUUGUAUGUAGUAACCCACGACAGUCUACAACGUCCUUCCACAUUUCACCCCCCCCCCCAACCCAUUGCUACUACAGUUGAAUUACGACAAAGGAAUACAUUUGAUCGAUAUAUUUAUGCGGUUACUCUACGUGUAAGUUGAACUGCCCGCCCAAUACGGAAUACUCGUCAAUUCUACCAAUUGCUUACGGGACAAGUACAAAUGAACUUUGCCGAUCGACGGAGCUUAAAAUCACGGGGUUUAAACAGGUAAGACAAAAAUAUACCUACAUUUAAUUUUCAUAUGUGUUAUUUCAGAAAACCACGUUUUAUCGGACGCGAUUUUCCAAAAAAAGAACACGUUGGAGGUAGAUUUAUUUAUGGGACUUCCUUGAGAUUUCAACUUUAACUGGUAUAAUGUUAUACCCAACGAAAAAUGGUUUAUGAAAAAAUCAAAUUAAACUAACCAACAGUAAUUUCUAUAAGCACUUACUAUUCAAAGAUUUGACCAGGAAAGGUCAAUUAAAUGAAGAGGGCACGAAAUAAAUUGGAUGCAAACAUUUCAUCUGGGACAAAAUAUUUGAAUAAAAGGCUUAAUAUAGAAGCAUACCUAAUAUUAAUAGAAUAAAUGAUAAAUGAAAACUAAUGAGACUUAAAUUUAGCCAAAAAUCUUAUUGCAAAUUAUAUCAAAGUAAUUUGUAGUAGAUGAUUGAGAAUUCAUAAAAUAAUAAAAUAACACUUUUGUCAGUGUUUAAUUCUUUAAACAUUGUUUGGACAAAUAAAAAUAAAAUAUUAUCGCAAUUUAUAAGUAUAAUUUUAUUAUUAUUUUACUUGAUAUUGAUUAUAUACCUAUAUUUACUAUUCCUAAGAUCUGGAAAUUAAAAAUGAUAAUUACACUAAGGUCACAUUAGGUAGAUGUGACCUAAAUUUUCCAUACCAUUUUUAUAUCUUGAUAAUUAUUGUAGAUUCAAAUUACCUAAUAUAAAACUUAAUAUUAAAAAACAAAUCAUAUUCAUCUAAAAUAAUAACAUACAAUUAUUAGUAUAUACAGUAAAACCUCAUUAGUCCGGAUUAAUGAGGUUUUAUAUAUAUAUAUAUUAGUUGUUGUAAAAACAAAAAAUAUUUUUUUUUUAUUUUGCAAAUAUUUAAAUACAUACAAUAUUAUUAAAUAUUCUAAAAAAACAUAGUAUAAUAUCUUUAAUCAUAAACAUUUAUCACACUAUCAAAACAAACAAAAAAAAAAACACUUUUUUAAGGUACCUAAUGCAUUAAUGCAGUAAGAUACAGUAUACAACUAAUUUGCUAAUUUAUGCAAUAAUAACUUAAAAUUAAUUUCAUAUACUAACAUAACUGUUCUAGGAAUUAAAGAUAGGUCGAUUAAAAAAAAUACUAAAUUGAUAAUUUAAAACACUAUUGGUUUUUUAAGUUGCAAAAAAUAUGUAUUUUAGGUUUUAAUGAACAUAUUAUUCAAACAAUUUUUCUUUAUAUUGUGCUCCAUUUUCAAAAGCAAUUAUUAGUUUUUUUCAUUCUUUUUAUAUACUUGUUAGUUUGAGUUAAUAUUAUUCCUUAUUUUAAGUUAUGUUGAUACAUAUUAGAAAGAAAUAUGAAUUCAGGAUUUAAGUUCAGAAUAAUAGUAAAUGAGAUUUUCUUUUUGUCAAAAGGUUUAUAUGAGAAUUAUAAGUUAAUUUUGAUUCAAUAUCAUUUUUUUCUUUUAGGCUCGUUUCUCAUGGGCGCUUAUUGUACGUGCGCGUUUUUAGUUUUUAUUGAUUAAGUUCAUACGCAGCACUUUCGACAAUGGCACAUUUUGCUAGCCGAUAUGGCGAGUUGGACCCAUGUUAACUAAAAACGGUUCUUAGAAUUUUUCUAGAAGUUCUAAUGUUUAUAGAGCCUAUAUUAUAGACUUAUGAAAAAAAUCAAUUUUUAGUUUUGUAUAUUAUUAAAGUUUUUUCUUUUUUGAAAUUUACAUCCAAAGAAUCAUUUAAUUUUGCAAGAUCUUAAAAAUCCUUGUCCUCCAUUUGUUAGUUAAGGAUUUCCUUUAAUUUACUUGUUUAAUAAUUGAUACCUAACAAUAAAUUCUUUUUUGGUUUGAAUUUUCACGAAUAAUGUGUUCAAUUUUAAAUAUGAGUAUUAUUUUGUACAACAGUUGUUUCUUCUUUGUUGACUGUUAUUUCAUUUUAAAUUAAAUUUGUUUUCAUCAUUUGUAUUUAUCUAUACUUCUAAAGCCCAUUUAUUUUUCUUCUAGUUAUAGUUGUAUUGAUCUUCUUAAUAUUUUAAUAUUGUUUUAAAAUUUUGUUUGCAGUGGUUUUUCUAUGUUGUUUGCAAUGGUUUUUCUAUAUUGAUUGCAGGGAUUUGUUCACAAAUCAUUUUUUUCAGGUGCUGGAUGUAUUCAGGUGUUCACACACCAGAAUAAUAAAUCUAAACAAACAAUUGGGUAUUAAUAACAGUUAUUAUUUGGGUUAAUAUUGGUUAAUACGGGCGUUUAAUAGUCUAGAGAAAUCACAAUUUUUUAUUGAUAGCCCUUCCCCCAAAAUAAAUAUUAAUUAAAAAAAAGAUUUAUGGUAUUUAUAAAUGACAAAAUAGAAUUUUCUAACAUGAAUGCACAUUUGUUUUAGACCAAACUCAGUUUACACUUUACUAAUAUUAUUUUAAUUAAUUUAUACAACUUUAUUUUAUCGAGUAGAAUCCUAAUUGUGUAUUCUAUAGAUAUAAAUAUAAAAUAGACAAAAACUGUUACUUAUUAAUUAUUAGUUUUUGGUUAUAACUGUCCAUACAUUAGUCAAUGUCUAUAUCUAUACGUCUAUAUUUUAUAUUGCUGUUGGAUAUAUUUGGAUUUAUUUUAAAUACUAGUAAAAUAAUAAAGUAUAUCAUACUUAUAUUUUAAGAAAUAAUUUAGUAUUAGGCAAUUAGUUUUAAUUAGAAUAAAUUAAUGAUUUUAUUAAAUUUUAUUUUUAAGAAAAUAUUAAUUGAAUUUACUUAUAAUUAAUAAUUAAUUUAUAAUUAUUGUAAAAUGUUAAUAGUAUUUAUUAUUAAACCAUCUAAAAAAUCGAACUAACCACAAAAAAUACAUACAAAGUUAUGUAUCACAUAAAGAUUGUAAAAAAUAAAACAUUCAAAGUUUGAGUUAAUUCGGUUGCAAGGCCCUGGUUGAUUGUGAAAAACUGAGUUGGUUCUUUCUAAGUAAAUAAUACUAAGUAUAAGUUACAUUUAUUACAGUAAUUAUAAAAAUAUUAUAUUAUAGAAUAAAAGUGAAAAGAAGGGUUUUGUAUAAUAGGUAAACAAGUGAUUGAACCAAUAAAAUAUAUUAAUAACUUAACUUAUGUAAAAAAAAAAAUAGUGUGGAUCUUCCAAUAUAAAAAAAAAAUCUAUUUAAUACAUUUAAAUAUUAUGUUGGUAAUUUUUUUAGAUAUUUAUUAUUUAUAAUGAUAAAUUGGUAUUAAAGUCAGUUAUUUAGUAAGA